rnacentral:rRNA from 1 species
AGGGUUCGAUUCUGGCUCAGGAUGAACGCUAGCGACAGGCUAACACAUGCAAGUCGAGGGGCAGCACGGGAGUAGCAAUACUUGGUGGCGACCGGCGCACGGGUGAGUAACGCGUAUGCAACCUACCUAUCAGAGGGGAAUAACCCGGCGAAAGUCGGACUAAUACCGCAUAAAACAGGGGCACCGCAUGGUGAUAUUUGUUAAAGAAAUUCGCUGAUAGAUGGGCAUGCGUUCCAUUAGGUAGUUGGUGAGGUAACGGCUCACCAAGCCGACGAUGGAUAGGGGAACUGAGAGGUUGGUCCCCCACACUGGUACUGAGACACGGACCAGACUCCUACGGGAGGCAGCAGUGAGGAAUAUUGGUCAAUGGGCGGGAGCCUGAACCAGCCAAGUCGCGUGAAGGAAGAAGGAUCUAUGGUUCGUAAACUUCUUUUGCAGGGGAAUAAAGUGCAGGACGUGUCCUGUUUUGUAUGUACCCUGAGAAUAAGGAUCGGCUAACUCCGUGCCAGCAGCGGC